GAUGAACGCUAGCUACAGGCUUAACACAUGCAAGUCGAGGGGCAGCAUAUUUAUAGCAAUAUAGAUGAUGGCGACCGGCGCACGGGUGAGUAACACGUAUCCAACCUCCCUUUUACUCGGGGAUAGCCUUUCGAAAGAAAGAUUAAUGCCCGAUAGUAUAUGGUUUUCUCAUGAAGACCCUAUUAAAGAAUUUCGGUAAAAGAUGGGGAUGCGUUCCAUUAGGCAGUUGGCGGGGUAACGGCCCACCAAACCUACGAUGGAUAGGGGUUCUGAGAGGAAGGUCCCCCACAUUGGAACUGAGACACGGUCCAAACUCCUACGGGAGGCAGCAGUGAGGAAUAUUGGUCAAUGGGCGAGAGCCUGAACCAGCCAAGUAGCGUGAAGGAUGACUGCCCUAUGGGUUGUAAACUUCUUUUAUAAGGGAAUAAAGUGGAGUAUGUAUACUCCUUUGUAUGUACCUUAUGAAUAAGGAUCGGCUAACUCCGUGCCAGCAGCCGCGGUAAUACGGAGGAUCCGAGCGUUAUCCGGAUUUAUUGGGUUUAAAGGGAGCGUAGGCGGAUGUUUAAGUCAGUUGUGAAAGUUUAAGGCUCAACCUUGAAAUUGCAGUUGAUACUGGAUAUCUUGAGUACAUUGAAUGUGGGCGGAAUUCGUGGUGUAGCGGUGAAAUGCUUAGAUAUCACGAAGAACUCCAAUUGCGAAGGCAGCUCACAGUAAUGUAACUGACGCUGAUGCUCGAAAGUGUGGGUAUCAAACAGG
rnacentral:rRNA from 1 species